rnacentral:rRNA from 1 species
GUGGGGAAUCUUGCGCAAUGGGCGAAAGCCUGACGCAGCCAUGCCGCGUGGAUGAUGAAGGUCUUAGGAUUGUAAAAUCCUUUCACCGGUGAAGAUAAUGACUGUAGCCGGAGAAGAAGCCCCGGCUAACUUCGUGUCAGCAGCCGCGGUAAUACGAAGGGGGCUAGCGUUGCUCGGAUUUACUGGGUGUAAAGGGCGCGUAGGCGGACAUUUAAGUCAGGGGUGAAAUCCCGGGGCUCAACCUCGGAACUGCCUUUGAUACUGGGUGUCUUGAGUAUGAGAGAGGUGUGUGGAACUCCGAGUGUAGAGGUGAAAUUCGUAGAUAUUCGGAAGAACACCAGUGGCGAAGGCGACACACUGGCUCAUUACUGACGCUGAGGCGCGAAAGCGUGGGGAGCAAACAGGAUUAGAAACCCCAGUAGUCC